rnacentral:tRNA from 1 species
GCGAAAGUGGCGGAACUGGUAGACGCACUAGCCUUAGGAGCUAGCGGAGCAAUCCAUCCGGGUUCGAGUCCCGGCUUUCGCA